AUCAGAGUAGGAAAUAAAGCGUUAAGUGCUGAAAGGAUGGGAUGUUGCCUUUCGGACGAAGAAUACAUAAGAAUAGUGAAAUGGCUAGACCAGUUUUAUGAUCUAGCUACACGAACUAGCUCUUCGGAAAAAAGAUGAAUAAUGCUAGUGGCAAAAAGCGCCACAAUCAGUAUUCCCUAUUUUUCUGUCAGAGCUGAACGAGUUCGUUCCGCUUUUCUGUAUUCGCGGUUUUGUUUUCGCAUUCGCUGCA
rnacentral:ncRNA from 1 species